rnacentral:rRNA from 1 species
GAUGAACGCUGGCGGUAUGCUUUACACAUGCAAGUCGUACGGGGGUUUUUAACUCAAGUGGCGGACGGGUGAGUAACACGUAAGAAUUUGCCUUUAGGAGGGGGACAACAACUGGAAACGGUUGCUAAUACCCCAUAUGCUUUCGAGUGAAAUGGAUUUAUCCGCCUAGAGAGAAGCUUGCGGCUGAUUAGCUUGUUGGUAAGGUAAUGGCUUACCAAGGCGACGAUCAGUAUCUGGUUUGAGAGGACGAUCAGACACACUGGAACUGAGACACGGUCCAGACUCCUACGGGAGGCAGCAGUGGGGAAUUUUCCGCAAUGGGCGAAAGCCUGACGGAGCAAUACCGCGUGAGGGAUGACGGCCUAUGGGUUGUAAACCUCUUUUUUCAGGGAGGAAUA